rnacentral:rRNA from 1 species
GACGAACGCUGGCGGCGUGCUUAACACAUGCAAGUCGAACGUGAUUUUUAAGGAAAGCCCUUCGGGGACGGAAAUGAAAUGAAAGUGGCGAACGGGUGAGUUACAC